AUACUUACCUGUUGUGGGAGAUGCUGUGAUUACAAAAGUGGUUUUGCCGGGCUAAGGCUUUUCGAUUGCACUUUGGAUGUACUGACCCUUGCGAUUUUCCCAAAUGUCAGAAACUCAGCUGCAUAAUUUGUGGUGGUGGGGGACUGCAUUUGCACUUUUCCCUA
ensembl:snRNA U1 U1 spliceosomal RNA